CAAUGCAAUGUAAAAAGGGCAU
rnacentral:miRNA from 1 species